UGGGGGAUUAGUGGCGAACGGGUGAGUAACACGUGAGUAACCUGCCCUUGACUCUGGGAUAACCUCCGGAAACGGAAGCUAAUACCGGAUAUGACGUACGGAGGCAUCUCCUGUGCGUGGAAAGAAUUUCGGUCAAGGAUGGACUCGCGGCCUAUCAGGUAGUUGGUGAGGUAACGGCUCACCAAGCCUACGACGGGUAGCCGGCCUGAGAGGGUGACCGGCCACACUGGGACUGAGACACGGCCCAGACUCCUACGGGAGGCAGCAGUGGGGAAUAUUGCACAAUGGGCGCAAGCCUGAUGCAGCAACGCCGCGUGAGGGACGACGGCCUUCGGGUUGUAAACCUCUUUUAGUAGGGAAGAAGCGAAAGUGACGGUACCUGCAGAAAAAGCACCGGCUAACUACGUGCCAGCAGCCGCGGUAAUACGUAGGGUGCAAGCGUUGUCCGGAAUUAUUGGGCGUAAAGAGCUCGUAGGCGGUUUGUCGCGUCUGCUGUGAAAACCCGAGGCUCAACCUCGGGCCUGCAGUGGGUACGGGCAGACUAGAGUGCGGUAGGGGAGAAUGGAAUUCCUGGUGUAGCGGUGGAAUGCGCAGAUAUC
rnacentral:rRNA from 1 species